CGGGUGAGUAACACGUAUGCAAUCCACCUGUAACAGGGGGAUAACCCGGAGAAAUCCGGACUAAUACCCCAUAAUAUGGGCGCUCCGCAUGGAGAGUCCAUUAAAGAGAGCAAUCUUGGUUACAGACGAGCAUGCGCUCCAUUAGCCAGUUGGCGGGGUAACGGCCCACCAAAGCGACGAUGGAUAGGGGUUCUGAGAGGAAGGUCCCCCACAUUGGAACUGAGACACGGCCCAG
rnacentral:rRNA from 1 species